GGGAGCCGACUGUAACGUCGGCUUGGUAGAGCAUCCGUCUGAUAAGUGGAAGGUCGUAGGUCCGAUUCCUACCGCACCCACCA
rnacentral:tRNA from 2 species